rnacentral:rRNA from 1 species
UACGUAGGUGGCAAGCGUUGUCCGGAUUUACUGGGUGUAAAGAGCGCGCAGGCGGUCGAGUAAGUCGAAUGUGAAAGCCCCCGGCUUAACUGGGGAGGGUCAUUCGAUACUGUUCGACUUGAAGGCAGGAGAGGGCAGCAGAAUUCCCGGUGUAGUGGUGAAAUGCGUAGAUAUCGGGAGGAAUACCAGUGGCGAAGGCGGCUGCCUGGCCUGUUCUUGACGCUGAGGCGCGAAAGCUGGGGGAGCAAACGGG